ACUGAUGAUUUUGAGACUGAUGAAUCCGAGGCUGAUGAAUCCGAGGCUGAUGAUUCGGAGACUGAUGAAUCCGAGGCUGAUGAUUCGGAGACUGAAAAACUUAUUAGUCAUGAAUGUGAGUAUUGUUUAAAGGUGGGUGACCACUUUACGCAACUAUGCCCUUACAGGUAUCAUGUCCCAGAGAAUGCAAUUGUUGGCAAGAGGUGUGUGGUAAUUUGUCAUUGUUGUGGGUGCCACUUUAGAGAGUUCUGUUGUUCCAGAUGUGGCGAAAGCGAUGGAUUUGCAAUUCGCAUGAAUUGUAUACAUUGUGGGAAUUAUGGUGAACACAUGACUUAUAUGUGCCCGAAUCGCGAGCGGAGUCCCCACUUAUGUUUAUUGUGACCCUUACAUUAGUUCUUGUUCUUUCCAUUGAAAUAGUAGUAGAGAACGGACGGUUAACUUUA